ACGUUUACAAACUCACAUUAACCCAAUUUUAUUGUUUUGCUUGAAAAAACCAUCCGUCAGAUGAUUUGCUCCCGUUAGAUCCCGAGUUUUGUUUGAUUCGGAUCAACACGGAUGAACUAGAAGCUAAAUUAGCUCUCGCACAAGUACCGCGGUGGGUUGACGCGGGUGCCAAAUUAGCCUUGCAACGCAAUUAGGUCACUGCGGUGGAGAUGCCCCAAAAACCAUUUCUGGUAUUCUAGGAGCAUUGCUCUGCAUGUAAAACGGGUUUACGGUUGGUUUUCACGGUUUAUGUUUUCAUUGUUUCAGAAAUACUUCACGGAUCUGUUUGCUCUAGCUGCAGAGGAUGAAACAUCUUCCACUGUUGGGCGAAGAAGCACAAGUAGUCGUGGGCGGAAACCACCUGCAACUAAAAAAGAACUGUCUGCAUCGAACAACAGUAAAAAAAGCGUUGAAAACACCCUUGCCAGCGACGACUCAACUGAUGAGGACUGGUCGAAGCAAAAAACGGGUAAAAGACGCAAGAAAGCAAUCAGUGACUCUGAAUAAUGUGAAAAAGUUUGGCUGCAACGAUAUUGAAUAAAAUUAAUGCUUCGUAAUAAAUGA